UUUAAAAUUAAUUGUGACCGUAUAUUAGUAAAGAAAGAAGUGUGGUGCAAUGGCCAGCAGCACGGGCAUAGGCGCAAGGGUAGACGGAGGCCUGGGUUUUGAGUCUCACAUUGCGUACAGAAGGCUUGGGUUUUUGCUGCUCACGUGGGGAAGGAGUUGGAGUCUGAUCCGGACUCUCCUGGCAGCAUGCUGAAACGGUGCAAGGGGUGGAUAAGGAUGCUGCUGCUUAUCGGUGGGGGAGUUUGAGCUGAUGAGGGGAUUGGGUAAGGAUGAGAUAAGGGAGGAAAUUUAGGAGCUGCUGAUCAAGGACUUGGGUGUUGGCCGAAUGUUGGACUCUUGAGGGGCAAGAGUUGGCCGGUCAAGGGUUUUUUAUCAUAGCCGAAUCUCUACUCUUUUCUUUCUUAAAAAACUGAAAACCUUCAUACCUGUAGUAUAGGAAGCUGAACCUUUGGCUACUUGAAUCUACUUCUUCUCGUAACAACGGUGGAUUGGAGUUAAGAUCAUAGAUAGGAGCACUUUUAUGGGCCAAACAAUGAUUGGUAAGUUUGUCGAAUAACUUCCGUUAAUUAUUUAUGAUUUAAGAUAAAAGUCGAAACCCCUUAAGGGUGGCUAACGUUUGGACUAAGGGUGUUGGCGCCUCUUUCUUUUUCAUUGUGUAAGCGUUAGCGUGGACAAGGCGGCGUGCUGUGGAGGGUUUGAAGACUGAUUCGGAUUGGAUCUCUAGAUCUAGUCCAUGUUUCGGCGGAAAGGUAAGAACUUUAGGGUCUAAGGCAAUGUUGGCCGAAUAUGGUAAGGGGACUAGUACGUAGUUGUUUUUGAUAUGUAGACUGACGUUUAGUAACUCGAUUGUAGGCAACACAUGUGUGGAUAUCGCCAGCGUAUCGUUACUGAUCAGGUGUGUAAACGACACCUGUAACAGCCCAAUUUGGACCCUAAUUGGAACGGUGGUUUCGAGACCACGAAUCCGAGUUAGAAUAAUAUUUAAAUAUUAUUUUCUAUGUUUAAAAUGUGUGAAGUUGCUUUUGUGAAAGUUUGGUUUAAAAAUUUUAGUGUUUGGAGGUCGAUUGAUGAAAAAGGGUUUAAUCGCUUAAAAUGAAAAUUUUAAGGGUUAAUGUAUAAAGGCCAAAUUAUGAUUGUUUUUAUAUUAUGUAACAUUAAGGUUGCAAUUUGGCCAUAAAUAGGAAUUAGUGGCCAACCAAUAUGCAUGGAUUAAUGACUUGAAUUGUUUAUUAUAUUUUAUGGCAUUAUGGUAUACUUUAAUAUAUGUUAAUAUAUUAUAUUUAAUAAAAGAUGAAAGUGUACAUCUUUCUUUUAUUUUUUUUGGCCGAAACUAAGAGAAAGAAAAGAAAGCUUCAGCUUUGAUAUUUUCGGUCCUUGCAUGUUCAAUUAGGUAAGUGAUUUGAGUUUGGUUUUUGUUAAUUUUUACACUUUUGAGAUAGUUGCUUUGAAUACUAUAAAGCCCAUGUUUGAAAUUUUGAAAUUGAUGAUAUAUUCAUAGAGUGUCAUUGUUAAUAGUUUGAUGAAAUUUAUGUUUGAUGUGAGAAAAUAAAAUAAAUGUGUUAGAUUAACAUUUUGGUAUUGGGAUUUUUGGUAAUUUUGAGCAUUUAGGGUUAAAUUGAAAAAAAUACUAAAUUGAAGGACUAGAUUAUGAAAUUAGUGAAAUGGGAGGAUUUAUAUAAGCUUAGUGAACAUUCGGCCCUAGCAUUGUAUAUGCAAAUUCUUCAUAUUUUGUAUUUUGAGAAAAUUGGAUUAAAUUGUAAAAGUGCAUAAUGUUAGGGGUAAAUUGGUAAAUUGCUCAAUCAUGUGUAUUUGGACCUAAAUGAAUGAAAUUCUAUUUGAAUGAGAUUAAUUUGGAAAUUUUUAGAUCAAGAAUCAAAAAGAUCGGACGUGGAUCGGGGAAAAUAAAAAAAUCGUUGAGUAGUUGAAUUCAACUGUUCGUCGAUAUCCGAGGUAAGUUAUUAAGUAAAUAUUUAUUGUUGGUUUAAAUAAAUAUAAUUUAUAUAUUUGUGUGAGCCGAGUUGGAAUAUAUAAAAUCUUGGUGUUGCCGAACGCAAAUAGGAAUAAUAAAUAUGAAAAUUUCACUAAGCAUGCGAGUUUGGUUAAUGAGCACUAAGUGUGCGAGUUUUGAUUAUCGAGCACUAAGUGUGUGAAGGAAAAUAUUAAGCACUAAGUGUGCGAUUUCAUGGCUUUUCUAGUUAAACAAUAGCACUAAGUGUGCGAAUACAACGGGUGAAGGAAAGGAUCAGACGAUCUAAUUAUCAAAUGCAAGAGUAAUAGUGUAAUAUUUAUGUUCGUAAUAAUGCAGGUACGUAAUCAAACCUUUGUGGUUGAUAUUAUUGAACUUGAAAUUAUAUGGUUGGUAGUAAUAAAUAUAAUAUGUAUGAUAGAUUUGGAAAAAUGAGAGAUGGAUGAGUUGAAAAGAAUAAAAUAAAUAAUAAUAAUAAAAUGAUAUGAUAUAUAUAUAUAUAUUAUAUGAUGUUUGAUUAUUUAUUUUAUAUGUGAGUGAACAUUCGACUAGGUAUUAAAUGGUAAGAUGGGAAGUGUUAAGUAAUUUUUUUUUUAGAGUUUAUGUAUAUUCGAAUAUGUUAGGGAUUAAACUUGAUUGAUUGAUAGAUAUAUUGGUAGUCAAGUUUGGUUGAAUAUGUGAUUUUAGUAGCAGGACUUGGUUACUCAAAUUGAGCUAUUAAUGUCUUUUAAAUUGUUCAAAUUGCUUAUAACUUACUAAGCUAAAAUAACUUACUUUGAGAAUGUAUUUACUUGUCUUAAUUUUAUAGCUUUUGGAGAUUGUUACAUGCUCGGGAUCAUCAGUGAAGCUCAUCACACUAUCGUCUAUAUUUUGGUACUCUUGAAAGCUUAAGUUUAAACUUAUGGCAUGUAUAAGCUAUUCUAUCUUUUGAAUCCAAUAUGAAUGAGAAAUGUAUUUAAGCCAUGCGAAAAUGGCUUAGUUAUUAUAUGUUAUGCUUGGUUUAAAAUCUUCUUGGUUAGAUGUUUUGAUAUGUUUGGUUUGAUGGUUUAGUUGCAAUUUUAAUCCAUUUGAUAAGUAUAGAUUAUAAUUUGCAUAAUUGAUAUAUAUAUAUAUAUAUAUGUUCGGCUAUAGGGUGUUAAUUAACAAAACAUAUAUACUUUUAAAUUUGCGCAUAUGUCAUUGUGGAUAUAUGAAUUGAUUGAGUUAUAUCAAGUUAUUAUGAUAUUUGGAUGUAUUAAUAUGCUAUUAUAGGAUGUGAAUUAUUCUUAAGAUAUAAUUGGUGUUUUAAUUAUGUGGUUAUACUCUACAAAUGAUAGAUGAUAUGGAAAUUAAUACACUAGUGGUUGGUAUGUGUUCUUAAAAUUAGUUAUAUUAAAAUGGUCAAAUGCGUAUGGCUUUGUAAUUAGCAAAUAGGCAUGUUUGGUUUUUAAAUGAACUGCCAAGUAUGUUUUAUUUUAUUUUAUUUUUCUUUAUAAUAGCCAAUUUUAAUGUUGUACAUUAUUUGAAUAGUAAGUUAUGUGAAAUGUUUUAUCUGGUUAAGUAGUACAUGUAAAUAAUUAUGAAGUCAAAGGUUUAAUAUUUGAUUUGAAUUCGUUUGAACUUGGGGAUUAUAAUUCGUGCAUACAGUGUGAUUAAUAAUUUAAUAUAUUUUAUUUUACGAAGAAGAUCUAUGGAAUUAUGUGAAUGUACGAAUACUAUGUUUUUCUUCGGUAAUACAUCGUAACCCCGCCGGCGAUAGACGUGAGUUAGGGGUGCUACAACACCCACUCAUAGACUAGAUCGGCAAAAGCCGAAAACCCGAAAUGCCGAAAAGUCGGCAUUUGUGAACUUACGAGCGUGCGAGCGCUCAUGAGGUGGUUUGUUUGUUAAUUUUGGUAAUCAUAAGCGGUAAGAGUGCAGAGUGCGCAAUUUCGUGCACUUCGGUAUAUUUGGGCUUAAUGGGCUGAAAACGGGAUAGUGGGCCAACGGGCCCAAUUCGGUAAAAACGCUCGGUAAGUGUUUCUGUUAAUGCGUUAAUGGUUAUAAUAUGUGUGUAAACUCUAGAAUAGUAAAUUUUACUAAAAUACCCCUAAGUAUGAAAAUUACCAUUUUACCCCUAGGUGCAAAAUGACCGUUAUACCCCUAGGGUUAAUUUUGACAUAAAUGCAUGAUAUUCUGAUUCUGUUUGUUGUAUGGCAUGACAUGUAUAUCUGUUGCAUGGGAUCUGGGUUAUGUUAUGGAGGAAGAACUCGUUCUGGUGGCUGUGCCACAUAUUCUGAUAUAAGCAGCUUUGCUGCGAAUUAUAGUUAGUGUCAUAACCGGUGCUAACACCGUAAGUGUGGGGAUGGCGUGGGUGAUUUAUUCCCCACAGGAAGUGUAGGGAUGGACGGAGGCAAGUGCAGGGUUGGAUGGGGUUAUCAUGCAUUAAUCAUAUGAGACUGUUUUGUUAUGGGCCAACUGUAUUGAAAUGGGCUCAACGUGUUAAUAUGGGCAAGGCCCAAUAUAUCUCGACUUGUAAUAGGGCUAUGGCCCAGAUUGAUGCUGAUAUGGGCUAGGCCCAGUAUACUCUAAUAUUGUAAGGGGCUAUGACCCAGAUUAAUAUUGAUAUGGGCUAAGGCCCAGUUAACUCUGAUUUCUGAAUAGGGCUUAGGCCCAGUAAAGCUUGAACUGAUUUGGGCUCUAGUUGAGAUACUUUACACACUGAGUUUUUCAAACUCACCCCUAAAUUUUAUCCAUGCAGGUAACUCUCAACCAUAGUGGACUUGGAGCUGUAAGGGAUUCGGAAUAGCCACAUGUUUUGCAAGCUACAUUUUCUCCUUAUGACUUGAUUAGUUUUAUUUACUUUAAUUGCUUUUGGGUUUUAAGUUGUAAUAAGGCCGC
rnacentral:lncRNA from 1 species